rnacentral:rRNA from 1 species
GACGAACGCUGGCGGCGUGCUUAACACAUGCAAGUCGAACGAUGAAGCGGUGCUUGCACCGUGGAUUAGUGUCGAACGGGUGAGUAAUACGUGAGUGACCUACCUUUGACUCUGGGAUAAGCCUUGGAAACUGGGUCUAAUACCGGAUACGACCACUCCCUGCACGGGGUGUUGGUGGAAAGCGUUAUGGGGUGGUUUUAGAUGGGCUCACGGCCUAUCAGCUUGUUGGUGGGGUAAUGGCUUACCAAGGCGACGACGGGUAGCCGGCCUGAGAGGGUGACCGGCCACACUGGGACUGAGACACGGCCCAGACUCCUACGGGAGGCAGCAGUGGGGAAUAUUGCACAAUGGGCGGAAGCCUGAUGCAGCGACGCCGCGUGAGGGAUGACGGCCUUCGGGUUGUAAACCUCUGUUAGCAUCGAAGAAGCGAGAGUGACGGUAGUUGGAGAGAAAGCGCCGGCUAACUACGUG